GGACUACUCGGGUAUCUAAUCCGGUUCGCUCCCCACGCGGUCGCGCCUCAGCGUCAGGGCACCCCCAGCCGGCCGCCUUCGCCACAGGUGUUCCUCCCGAUCUCUACGCAUUUCACCACUACACCGGGAAUUCCACCGGCCUCUGAGCCCCUCCAGUCGGCCAGUCUCCGCCGCCCCCUCCCAGUUGAGCCGGGAGAUUUCACAGCAGACUUAGCCCACCGCCUGCGCGCGCUUUACGCCCAAUAAAUCCGGACAACGCUCGCCACCUACGUAUUACCGCGGCUGCUGGCAC
rnacentral:rRNA from 1 species